AGGGAGCUUGCUCCCGGAUGUUAGCGGCGGACGGGUGAGUAACACGUGGGUAACCUGCCUGUAAGACUGGGAUAACUCCGGGAAACCGGAGCUAAUACCGGAUAGUUCCUUGAACCGCAUGGUUCAAGGAUGAAAGACGGUUUCGGCUGUCACUUACAGAUGGACCCGCGGCGCAUUAGCUAGUUGGUGGGGUAAUGGCUCACCAAGGCGACGAUGCGUAGCCGACCUGAGAGGGUGAUCGGCCACACUGGGACUGAGACACGGCCCAGACUCCUACGGGAGGCAGCAGUAGGGAAUCUUCCGCAAUGGACGAAAGUCUGACGGAGCAACGCCGCGUGAGUGAUGAAGGUUUUCGGAUCGUAAAGCUCUGUUGUUAGGGAAGAACAAGUGCGAGAGUAACUGCUCGCACCUUGACGGUACCUAACCAGAAAGCCACGGCUAACUACGUGCCAGCAGCCGCGGUAAUACGUAGGUGGCAAGCGUUGUCCGGAAUUAUUGGGCGUAAAGGGCUCGCAGGCGGUUUCUUAAGUCUGAUGUGAAAGCCCCCGGCUCAACCGGGGAGGGUCAUUGGAAACUGGGAAACUUGAGUGCAGAAGAGGAGAGUGGAAUUCCACGUGUAGCGGUGAAAUGCGUAGAGAUGUGGAGGAACACCAGUGGCGAAGGCGACUCUCUGGUCUGUAACUGACGCUGAGGAGCGAAAGCGUGGGGAGCGAACAGGAUUAGAUACCCUGGUAGUCCACGCCGUAAACGAUGAGUGCUAAGUGUUAGG
rnacentral:rRNA from 1 species